rnacentral:lncRNA from 12 species
GACAAGGGUUGUCAGGAUCCCCAGUCCCGACCUGGAAUGCGUGUCUCACGGCAACACCACCCGAGGCGGUUACAUUUCCAGGUCAGCUCACGACAGCCAACCACACACUGGGCUGCCCACCCUGCGUUUCAGCUCUGUCCGAGUCCAAAGGCUUCCGUGGGCUGACCCAAGGGCCUUAAGAACAGCCUGGCGUCUAAGCUGGGGACUCGUCCCGACGUUGUUUCAAUAGGAAAUCUACGAAAUGCCAAUUGUUUCUAAUGAGAUCGCGAUUCACAACAUCUUGUAAAACACAGACAAGGAAAGCAUCAAAAUACUGAGUUAAGUAACCCGACAAGCAGUCCAGUGAAACAAACCACAUUGGCCUGUUACUUGAUGUAAGGAGAAUCACACAAGGUUAUAUGUUUAAAUAGUCAUCUGCAUAUGUAAACUGUUCUCGUUUUCCCAUUUGAGAAUCCUCAAGUCAGUUGGCUAUGGAAGGAACGACACACACAGGAAAUCAUCUCCGAUGAAGAGUAACCUUGCUUUUAAAAUGGUUAAUAGAUUUUUAAGACCCCAGACUGGCAAGAGAGUUUAGCCAAAGGAAAUGGCAGUAACAUUCUACGAUGUUCACAUUGAAAACCAAAACAAAACAAAAAACACAAAGGCUCUGAAUUACAGCUCUGGGUUCCCCGGGGAAGGUAGUUCUUAGCUAACACUGCAGUUGAGGGAGGUGGGAGGCCCUGGGCAACGUGCAGACGCCCCUGCUGAGAGCUACCCCGACUCACUCCAGGCAGCAUUCCUGAGAUGGGGGCGAAAACAGCUCCACCCCAAGGACCAGAAGACCCGACCCAAGACCCGACCCGACCUUCCCGCUCGCUCCUGGGACCCCCUGGGACCCUGCGGUCAGGGGAGCAGGUGUCCGCGUCUCCCUGAGGGCGGCUGGGGGAGAAACGGCAGGAUCAGGUGCACGUGAUGAGCGUGUCCUGCCCCUCCCCGGACACCUGCCACCCAUCCCACCCAGGGCGCCGGGCAGGCCCAGUCCGAGGGGAGAGGCCAGGCCCAGUCCAUGAGGAGAGGCUGAGGCCCAGUCAGAGGGGAGAGGCUGAGGCCCAGUCCGAGGGGAGAGGCCGAGGCCCAGUCCGAGGGGAGAGGCCAGGCCCAGUCCAUGAGGAGCGGCCAGGCCCAGUCCGAGGGGAGAGGCUGCACCAAGGGAGCUGGUCAGGAGGAGUCAGGUGCCGCGCGCACCUGACCACACGGGCCACCGACCACCGCAGCCGCUGGGACCGCGUGCAGGUCCCCCUAGAGGGAAACAAAGUACCUCUGCUACCCGCGCUGCUUCGGCCGGGGCUGCUCAUCGACUCCAUCUGCUCUCACGUCCCCCAGCAGCGAGGAGCGGCCACGACCCCGACCAAGGCGGGGAGAGAGGGGCAAAGGGCAGCGCGUGGUUGCUGGCAACUUUGCAGCUGUUUUCCAUUCUUUCUGGCCCUUUCCAUUUGCCAGAUCUUGAUCCUUCAAACUCUAUGA